ACGCUCGACACCUACGGAGCAGCAGUGGGGAAUAUUGCACAAUGGGGGAAACCCUGAUGCAGCGAUGCCGCGUGAAGGAAGAAGUAUCUCGGUAUGUAAACUUCUAUCAGCAGGGAAGAAAAUGACGGUACCUGACUAAGAAGCCCCGGCUAACUACGUGCCUGCAGCCGCGGUAAUCUGAGCGGGCUGGCAAGGC
rnacentral:rRNA from 1 species